GAUGAAGAACGUAGCGAAAUGCGAUAAGUAAUGUGAAUUGCAGAAUUCAGUGAAUCAUCGAAUCUUUGAACGCACCUUGCACCCUUUGGCAUUCUGAAGGGUAUGCUCGUUGAGUGUCAUUGUACUCUCACACUCCCGAUCUUUGCAUUGGGAGCAGUGGACUUGGGUUUGCUGCUUCACCGUCGCUUACCUCAAAUAGGUUAGUGCAACUCUUGGUUGGACAUAGUACGGCGUGAUAAGUGUUCUUCGCCGGUGCCUCGCAAAGAGGGUGGCCGAUCGGGAUGUUGUGCUCCAAACCGUCUUCGGACAAUCUCUGACGACUUGACCUCAAAUCGAGUAAGACUACCCGCUGAACUUAAGCAUAUCAAUAAGCGGAGGA
rnacentral:misc_RNA from 1 species